rnacentral:tRNA from 1 species
GCGUUAGUAGUUUAAAUGGACAAAACAGGACACUCCUAAUGUCAAGAUUGGGGAUUCGAGUUCCUCCUAGCGCGCCA